GGACCUUUAGCUCAGUUGGUUAGAGCAGACGGCUCAUAACCGUCCGGUCGUAGGUUCGACCCCUACAAGGUCCA
rnacentral:tRNA from 1 species